GAGAAAAAAAGUCUGAAGGGAGUUUUCGAGAGAGAGUGAGUUUUAGAGGAAAAAAAAUCUGGAAAUUUUUUCAGAUUUGAAAUCAAUUGAUAAACAAGGUUUAUAGAUCUCUUCUUCUUCUUCUUCUUCUUUAUAACAGAUUUGAACGAGAUUUCGCUGUGUUUCUUUAUCGGAGUUAAGCAACAGAAUUGACGAGAUCUGACUUUUAUUCAACAAAUUGAGAUCGUGAAUUUGUGUUCAACAUAAUAUUUGGUUGCAGAGAUCGUGAAUUAAUGAUGAUUCUAUACGAUUGAUUGGUCGAAUUACGAAUUAUUUGAACUCGAGAUCGUGAUUCAUCUCUUAAACAGGUCAAACAUGGUUGUUGCAGAGUUUAGAUUUUGCAAUAUGAGCGUCUCGCAUCUUGUUUCGGAAACAAUUAUAAUCAGCGUGAUGAUAAUUGUGGCCAAAAAAAAUUGGCCUUUUGUUCCUGAAGACCUCAUGUUGUUUGGUUACACUGUAGAUGGGAUGUCAAGUUUCAUUCACAACUGCAGCACGAAAGGGCUUGACGUGUUGAAGUUGUUUCACUACGACAUUUUUUUUGCAUAUUUUUGAGGUUUCAUACUAGUUUGAUGUUUUUUUUAUGCCUUUUGGUCUGGACUUGUUAUGUAUUUAAUGACAUACAUUCUGGUUUAUUUUUAUAUAGUGGAUUGCCCGUGCCAUAAUGGCACGGGGACGGAAGGGGUGUUGGCGAUCUAUUUGAAGCACAGUUUAUUUUUAAAACUAUAAUUUUACUCGAGCUGUAUGUAAUUUUCUUUUUUUAGUUAAUCUAUAAAAUUAUGCGCCAAUGUAAUGUACGCGUUGACGAAGAUUA